rnacentral:lncRNA from 1 species
CAUUUUCCUAGUGGAUUUGCUCAUGGAUGGAUGCCUCCCUCCAGCAGUCUGGAUGGGAUGCCAGCAGGGUCCAGCUUCACAAAGGUGGAACUACAGCGCAGCUCUGUGGUGUCAAGUUUGCCCACAGAUGAGGGCCUGCUUUCUGCAAGUGAUCUCUGCUGGUCAUUCCUAGAACUCUCCCGCGCCGUGACCUUCAGGAAGGCACACAGAAUACGCCUUUGCAUCAACAGACUUGAAAACAACAGUAUCCAGCAGAUUCCAUUUUAAAAGGACCCUCCUGAUGGGCAGUGUAUAACCACCUCUCACUCUGUUAACAUCUUUCUGAAUGUGUGUGUAAAUGGGCGUUGUUUCAUUUUAUUUCAGCA